GCACUCGUAGAGUAGUAGUUAACUCAUUCCUCUCCCAAAGGAAAGACCCGGGUGCGAAUCCCGGCGGGUGCA